AGCGGCGGACGGGUGAGUAACGCGUGGGUAACCUGCCUCAUACAGGGGGAUAACAGUUGGAAACGGCUGCUAAUACCGCAUAAGCGCACAGUACCGCAUGGUACGGUGUGAAAAACUCCGGUGGUAUGAGAUGGACCCGCGUCUGAUUAGGUAGUUGGUGGAGUAACGGCCUACCAAGCCGACGAUCAGUAGCCGACCUGAGAGGGUGACCGGCCACAUUGGGACUGAGACACGGCCCAA
rnacentral:rRNA from 1 species